UACGUAGGGGGCUAGCGUUGUCCGGAUUUAUUGGGCGUAAAGAGCGUGUAGGCGGCCAGGUAGGUCUGCUGUGAAAACUCGAGGCUCAACCUCGAGACGUCGGCGGAAACCAUCUGGCUAGAGUCCGGAAGAGGAGAGUGGAAUUCCUGGUGUAGCGGUGAAAUGCGCAGAUAUCAGGAAGAACACCCGUGGCGAAGGCGGUCUCCUGGGACGGGUACUGACGCUGAGACGCGAAAGCGUGGGGAGCGAACAGG
rnacentral:rRNA from 1 species